rnacentral:rRNA from 1 species
GACGGUACCUCACAAGCAAGCUCCGGCUAACUUCGUGCCAGCAGCCGCGGUAAUACGAGGGGAGCAAGCGUUGUCCGAAAUAACUGGGCGUAAAGGGUACGUAGGCUUUUUUGUAGGUUUCCGGUGANAUUCACAGGCUCAACUUGUGACUUGCCGGAAAAACUGCAGAGAUUGAAUCCGGAAGGGGAAANCGGAAUUCCUGGUGUANCGGUGAAAUGCGUAGAUAUCAGGAGGAACACCAGUGGCGAAGGCGGCUUUCUGGUCCGGAAUUGACGCUGAGGUACUAAAGCGUGGGUAGCAAACAGGAUUAGAUACCCUGGUAGUCCACGCCCUAAACGAUGGAUACUUGAUGUCGGGAUGUUCGGUCGUCUCGGUGUCGUAGCUAACGUGUUAAGUAUCCCGCCUGGGGACUACGGUCGCAAGACUGAAACUCAAAGGAAUUGACGGGGGCCCGCACCAGCGGUGGAACAUGUGGUUUAAUUCGAUGCAACGCGAAGAACCUUACCUGGGCUUGACAUAUAUAUGAAGUAUGUAAGAAAUUAUGUAUUCUGUCUGCAUUUGCAGGUAGCAUAUAUACAGGUGAUGCAUGGCUGUCGUCAGCUCGUGUCGUGAGAUGUAGGGUUAAGUCCCUUAACGAGCGCAACCCUUGCUUUUAGUUGCCAUCAGGUAAUGCUGGGGACUCUAGAAGGACUGCCGAGGUUAACUCGGAGGAAGGUGGGGAUGACGUCAAGUCAGUAUGUCCCUUAUGUCCAGGGCUACACACGUGUUACAAUGGACGGUACAGAGUGCAGCUACGCCGUGAGGCUACGCAAAUCACUUAAAGCCGUUCCCAGUUCGGAUUGGAGUCUGCAAUUCGACUCCAUGAAGUUGGAAUCGCUAGUAAUCGCAGAACAGCAUGCUGCGGUGAUACGUUCCCGGGCAUUGUACACACCGCCCGUCACGCCAUGGAAGUUGGGAGUACCCAAAGUUGCUGUCUAUACGGUGGAGGUAACUAAGGUAAGACCGAUGACUGGGCGAAGUCGUA